AUACGGAGGAUCCGAGCGUUAUCCGGAUUUAUUGGGUUUAAAGGGUGCGCAGGCGGCCAUUUGAGUCAGCGGUUAAAUCGUGGGGCUCAACCCCAUUCUGCCGUUGAUACUGGGUGGCUUGAUUGCGGUCGAGGUUGGCGGAAUUCGUUGUGUAGCGGUGAAAUGCAUAGAUAUGACGAAGGACACCGAUUGCGUAGGCAGCUGACCAGACCGCAAAUGACGCUCAUGCACGAAAGUGCGGGGAUCGAACAGGAUUAGAUACCCUGGUAGUCCGCACAGUAAACGAUGAAUACUUGUUUUCGGCGAUAUAAUGUCGGAGGCAAAGCGAAAGCGAUAAGUAUUCCACCUGGGGAGUACGCCGGCAACGGUGAAACUCAAAUGAAUUGACGGGG
rnacentral:rRNA from 1 species